GACGAACGCUGGCGGCGUGCUUAACACAUGCAAGUCGAACGGUAAGGCCCCAGCUUGCUGGGGUACACGAGUGGCGAACGGGCGAGUAACACGUGGGUGACCUGCCCCGCACUUCGGGAUAAGCCUGGGAAACUGGGUCUAAUACCGGAUAGGACCGCACCGUGAGGGUGUGGUGGAAAGUUUUUCGGUGUGGGAUGGGCCCGCGGCCUAUCAGCUUGUUGGUGGGGUAAUGGCCUACCAAGGCGGCGGCGGGUAGCCGGCCUGGGAGGGUGGACGGCCACCUUGGGACUGAGACACGGCCCAGACUCCUACGGGAGGCAGCAGUGGGGAAUAUUGCACAAUGGGCGGAAGCCUGAUGCAGCGACGCCGCGUGGGGGAUGACGGCCUUCGGGUUGUAAACUCCUUUCACCAUCGACGAAGGUUUUCUGACGGUAGAUGGAGAAGAAGCACCGGCUAACUACGUG
rnacentral:rRNA from 1 species